UUCCGAGGGGGGCCCCGCGAGGGGGCUGAGAUAGGGCCGGACGCCCUGACCCUUGAACCUGAUCCGGCUCAUACCGGCGGAGGGACGGG
rnacentral:ncRNA from 1 species